rnacentral:lncRNA from 1 species
CACGACCAGCCGGAACUCCCACUCAGAGAAUGUACAACUCCUCUGCCACAACGUGAGGGAGAGAAGUCUGCAGACGGCUGACUGGUGACGACUGAACAAGACGGAAAGGCAAGUCGCUAUGCCCGAAGCCUUUGAAGGGAGCCAGCAGGGUCCAUGGGAGGUUCAGGACACAUAUCUGCAGCCCUGCUUCUGGCCCCACCCUUGGGGAAGCCUUUUGCAGGUGAUCCUGGGCCUCUGCUGGGGAAGGCCCCAAGAGGUGAAGCAUCCUCUGCAGAGGAGAGAGCACAUCCGGAAGUAGAAGACAGACCACUGUCUGGGCUCCGUUUAACUGCUGUGAUUUGGGAUUGUAACUUACUCCCGUAAAGCCUCAGUUUCCCACAUGGAAAAUCAAAUCGAUCAUUGUUAUAACAUUUCACUUUUUUGUUAUGUGAUGUAAUUUACACAGUGCUUUCGUAUACGUUAUCCAAUUUAGCGAAAUAAUACAGAGCAAUGCAUUUUGAAAAGAAUAAAAUGCUUAACAUAUGUGAGGAAUUCUUUUUUCCUUUGAAAACUACUCCGGAUGGCUUGGCUAUUGUUUAGUUAAGAGAAUUAUACAAUUUUUGAGACAUGGUUCCUUAUCUUGUGUAGGCUGAAAGGCAAUUAAACAAUUAUUCAUGUCAGAAUCUGAGGUAAAUAAAAGGCUGCUUCAAAGAGUCCACUUACGGAGUGAAAAGCAGUUGAGUAGAAACAGAGAGUGGUCUGUAAUUUCCUUCUGGAAGGAAUAUCCACUCCAUAUGGCCUGAAGCAAGAAUUUCAAACUCCUCUGUGGGGAGAAAGAGACAGAAAUAAAAACUUUUAAGUUUUUUUACUCCGAUUUGUCCCAGCCAUUUUCUGAACAGCCUAUGGAAGCCAUCCGCUCCUCUAAACAAAAAUAAGCUAAGAGACAGAAAGAAUGAUUUGAUUUCCGUGUGUAGGGAUGGUUCAGUCAUAAAUCAGUGUAUUUUUUCCAAGAGGAAGGUGCCAGCAACAAAAGUUGGUCAUAAAAAGGACAUUAAACUUUAGUAGUCUCUUCACUGUUCCCUCCCACAUCCAGUUGCCAACAGCAGAGACAACUGUGAGACACAGUGAAAUGAAGUGACUGCUCCACUGCUGGGCAACAGGAGACCCGGAUGCCAGGCUCCCUGGCAGAAGAAAUAGAAAGUCAAUAGCAAACACAGAUGUCUUCCUCCCUACCACAUCACCUCCACUUUUCACCAUCGCCUGUGUGAUACAACCACCCCGCAAUGCCUUCCUCAGCCUUUUACUUCUGUUUCCAGUGAGUCAAGAAAAACUUCUCCAGCUUGCCCUGUGGAGAUGAAUGAGCCCAUAAUCCACUUACACGUGUGACCUUUACACAGCCAGGACCCCCAUAGAGCAGCCAAACAUGCAGUCUUGUAAACAAAAGGAAUUUCAAGAUAACUCUGAUCUUUCACUAAUUAUCCCAAAGCCCAAAGGGGAUCCAUAUACAUAGUCCGAAGCCUACUUUAAGGAGGCAUCCUCCCCUGUGUAUUCCCAGCCCAUCCCAUAGUU